GAGGAUCGAAGAAACUUAAAAUUGACGUUUGGUAGUUUACAUUAAAAUUUUGAUACAACUUUAAGCUAAUCAAAUAAAAAGCCAAGUGUUUCAAAUCAUAUAGCAAAUCAUCUUGAGUAGAUGACUUCUAGUGAUAAAGAUUUUCCAUUCAUAGUAACCCACAAUAUAAUGGGUAAACUACAAGAAACAGUUCAUCAAACUGGAUGAUAGUGAAAGAAAGAAAGAACUGAUUAAAUAGGUAGAAGUGGAGUCUAUUACACACAGAGGUUGGAAAGAUUAACUGAACCUUUCAGUGCAACCUGUACUAGUAAAGAGAAAGCUGACUUAGAUUUUUCUAUUUUUCGUUUCCCAGGGUUGGAAAGAUUAACUGAACCUUUCAGUGCAACCUGUACUAGUAAAGAGAAAGCUGACUUAGAUUUUUCUAUUUUUUGUUUCCCAGGGUUGGAAAGACUAACUGAACCUUUCAGUGCAACCUGUACUAGUAAAGAGAAAGCUGACU